rnacentral:ribozyme from 13 species
CGCAAAAAAAAAAAAAAAAAAAAAAAAAAAAAAAAAAA